rnacentral:rRNA from 1 species
CCUACGGGUGGCAGCAGUGAGGAAUAUUGGUCAAUGGACGCAAGUCUGAACCAGCCAUGCCGCGUGCAGGAAGACGGCUCUAUGAGUUGUAAACUGCUUUUGUACGGGGGUAAACGCAGAUACGCGUAUCUGUCUGAAAGUAUCGUACGAAUAAGGAUCGGCUAACUCCGUGCCAGCAGCCGCGGUAAUACGGAGGAUUCAAGCGUUAUCCGGAAGCAUUGGGCGUAAAGGGUUCGUAGGUGGCAGAUUAAGUCUGGUGUUAAAUGCAGAAGCUCAACUUCUGUUCGGCACUGGAUACUGGUAAGCUUGAAGGCGGUAGAGGUAAAGGGAAUUCCUGGUGUAGCGGGGAAAUGCGUAGAUAUCAGGAGGAACAUCGGUGGCGAAGGCGCGUUACUGGGCCGUAAUUGACACUGAGGAACGAAAGCCGGGGUAGCAAAUGGGAUUAGAUACCCUUGUAGUC